AGUACCCAAAAGCCGAAUAGAAACGAAGAACCGACUCUCAAGAUUACAUAAAUUUUACUCUCAGAAGUUACAGAGCUCUCUCUCUCAGAAACCCAAAUUUUCCUAAACCCUAACCCCCGUCGCUCCCCAAAAUCGUAGCUUCCCUACAAAACCCGCAUUGCGAAACCCUAAUUCGUCGUUCUCGUUGGCAAUGACGAAGGUGUACGGAACAGGCGCGUACGAUUUCAAGCGCCACCAUGUUACCGAGUACCGGGUGGAGCUGAGCCACCAGCUCGGAGAGAAGCCUCCACCGAAGCCGGUGGAGGCUAAACCCGGUGCGGCGCUGCCGAGCUCGAUAACGCUGUCGGAGAUUGAGAGGGACCAGCUCACUAUGAUUGCCGCUGCCAAUUGGUCCAAAGCCGGCGGGCAGGUGAAGAAGGCGUUCGACGCGGAGCUGGUGAAGAAGAUUUACGAGACAAUUACUGUGGAAUAAUGGAAUAUGUUGAGAUUUAUACCUAUUGGAAGUCUUAUGAUUUUUCUUUGUUAUAAAAGCUGGACCUUUCAGAAUUUGUGUCAUAUUUCUUUUUUUCCUUUGUUUCUACAUAAACAUUGCUGUUGUUGCAGGUACUUGAGGCCACUUGUUGCUGAUGUUGCUGUUGUUCCGAAAUGCCACUUGAGUGCUUUGUAUAUACAUGAAAAGGGGAAGCUCUUUACCCAACUCGUUGACUUGCUGCAGUUUUAUGAAGGAUUUGAGAUUAAUGAUGAUGUGGGGAAACAAUUGACGGAUGAUGAUGUGCUCCAAUCUCAUUAUGAUCGCGUACAAUCUUUUCAGCUGCUUGCUUUUAAAAAGAUUCCUAAGUUGCAACAGCUUGCAUUGGUUCAAUUGACAACCGAAAUGAUCUCUGUGAAAGAUUGUCUGUACUUUCCCCUGAAGAAUUGAAGGAUUUGGUUUGUUCCAAGGCAUAUGAUAAAAGGGAAGAGUCAAGAAGCUUUCAUUGCAUUUAGAGAAGCAUUGGAGUUCAAAUGAAACAGCUAUCAACUGUGGGGAAACUACAGCCAUGUUGCUUUAGAUGUUGGCAAUGUUGCUCAGGCAA